rnacentral:tRNA from 1 species
GGAUAGCUCAGUGGUAGAGUGCAUGCUUAGCAAGCAUGACAUCCUGGGUUUAAUCCCCAGGAUCUCCA